rnacentral:rRNA from 1 species
GACGAACGCUGGCGGCGUGCCUAAUACAUGCAAGUAGAACGCAGUUGCGAACGGGUGAGUAACGCGUAGGUAACUGCCUCAUAGCGGGGGAUAACUAUUGGAAACGAUAGCUAAUACCGCAUACUGUGAGAUGGACCUGCGUUGUAUUAGCUAGUUGGUGAGGUAAAGGCUCACCAAGGCGACGAUACAUAGACGACCUGAGAGGGUGACCAGCAACACUGGAACGGAGACACGGUCCAGACUCCUACGGGAGGCGGAAGUGGGGAAUAUUGGAAAAUGGGCGAAAGCCUGAUGCAGCCAUGCCGCGUGUAUGAAGAAGGCCUUCGGGUUGUAAAGUACUUUCAGCGAGGAGGCGUUACUCGCAGAAGAAGCACCGGCUAACUACGUGCCAGCAGCCGCGGUAAUUC